rfam:Cricetulus griseus cell line CHO-K1, whole genome shotgun sequence.
GGAGAGAUGGCUCAGUGCUUAAGAGCACUGGCUGCCCUUCCAGAGGACCUGGGUUCAGUUCCCAGCUCACACCU